GCCGUUAUUCCAGUCCUCUCAACCAAACUGUUAAUAAACCAUCUUCAAGUUCACGUAAGGAGCCAGCUACCAGGACUGCACUGCCGGAUGCCUCGGGGAUCUCUUCACGACUUGCCUCGUCAACUUCAGAUUAGCCACGGGAGUUUAUUUGAUUCCUGGGGUACAGCAGACGACUGAAAGGCCGGGGACAUUUGCUCUCCACUCGUGUAGGUGUCUGGUGGUCACUGUUGGCAAGUGUAUUGGAGGAUAGCGGAGGAUUGCUGACAAUGCAGUGGAGGAUAGCGGAGGAUGGCUGAGUGCAGUGGAGGAUAACGGAGGAUGGCAGACAGUGCAGCGGAGGAUGGCUGACAGUGCGGUGGAGGGCUGAUCAUACUUAGGUGUUGAGUCAUAAUGAAGCACGGGUGCCGUUAUUCCAGUCCUCUCAAUCGAAGUCUGUCAAUAAACCAUCUUCAAGUUCAUGGAAGGAGCCAGCUACCAGGACUGCACUGUCGGAUGCCUCUGGGAUUUCUUUACCACCUGCCACUUCAGCUUCGGUUGAGAACACUGCACUGGAGUGGAGUAAAGCUCUUGUUUCUGAUGCGAGGACUAGUGUAUUUUGCCGUUAUUGUAAACAACCUGCUCAUGUCAGAGCCAACUGUAGAAAGUAAGCCAUUAAACGCAAUUCCUUUGGCCAAGGCAGACUGCUCUCCAUUUCGAUGUUGUCCCUAAUAAAGUGAAUUAUUUAACCACCAUUCCAGUGACAAACUUGAUUGUGCUCACGCAUUUGGAGUUGCCCCCACCUCCACUCCACACCUUUCCACCUCCACGCCACACUCUCCACCUCCACGCCACACUCUCCACCUCCACGCCACACC